UACGUAGGGUGCAAGCGUUGUCCGGAAUUAUUGGGCGUAAAGGGCUCGUAGGCGGUCCAUCGCGUCGGGAGUGAAAACCCAGGGCUUAACCCUGGGCUGGCUUCCGAUACGGGCAGACUAGAGGUAUGCAGGGGAGAACGGAAUUCCUGGUGUAGCGGUGAAAUGCGCAGAUAUCAGGAGGAACACCGGUGGCGAAGGCGGUUCUCUGGGCAUUACCUGACGCUGAGGAGCGAAAGUGUGGGGAGCGAACAGG
rnacentral:rRNA from 1 species